GGGGGUGUCACGGUUUCGACGGGGUAUGGAAAGGCUUUUGGAGGCGGCUCGGUAUCGCACCACCGAAACAGGGCGAAACUUUAUAAUUGCCAAUGACGAGCACUAUGCUCCGAUGAGGGCAGCGGCCUAAAACCGUUGUCACUUCGGGGUCCUGAUCCGGGCCCGGCAACAGAAGUCUUUCGAGACGGGAUCAAGCCGGAAUGUGAAUGCCGGUUAAAAUCCAGGGUCACCCAGUAUUCCGAGGUAACGGAAGCGUCGGAUCCAGCCGGUCUGCAAUGGAUCCGUUGCUCAUGACCGGCGAAAUGGCCGUACAUCUUCCGGGUUGACUACAUGUUUCGGACGCGGGUUCGACUCCCGCCACCUCCACCA
rnacentral:tmRNA from 1 species